GGCAUGGUGGCUUAGUGGUUAUCACCGUUGCCUCGCAUGCCCGGGGUUGAGGGUUCGAAUGCCACCUCCGCCC